GGUUGAACUUGAGUUUGUGGUGUUUUUAAAUUGGGUUUGUGUAGUGUUUGAACCUGAGUUUGUGGUGUUUUUGAACUUGAAGUUGUGUUUAUUUUUAACUUGAGGGUGUGAAAUUUUUUAAAGUUGAGAAUCUGGUUUUGGUUGAACUUGAGUUUGUGAUGUUUUUGAACUUGAGUUUGUCCGUGUUAGAACUUGAGUUUUUGGCGUUUGUUGAACUUGAGUUUCUGUUGUUUUUGAACUUGAGUUUGUGUCGUGUUUGAACUUGAGUUUGUGUCGUGUAUGAACUUGAGUUUGUGUUAUGUUCGAACUUGAGUUUGUGUCGUGUAUGAACUUGAGUUUGUGUCGUGUUUUUGAACUUGAGUUUUUGGUGUUUUUGAACUUGAGGGUGUGGAAUUUGUUAAACUUGAGAAUUGGGUAUUGGUUGAAUUUGAGUUUGUGUGUUUGUUGAAAUUGAGUUUGUGUCAUGUUUGAACUUGAGUUUGUGGUCUUUUUGAACUUGAGUUUGUGUGUUUGUUGAACUUGAGUUGUGGCAUUUUUUUGAACUCUAGGUUUUGGCAAUUGUUAAACUUGAGAUUUGGUUGUUGGUUGAACUUGAGUUUGUGUCGUGUUUGAACUUGAGUUCGUGUUGUUUGUUGAACUUGAAUUUGUGUGUUUUUUGAACUUAAUUUUUUUGAACUUGAGUUUGUGGCAAUUGUUGAACUUGAGUCUGUGGUUUUUGGUGAACUUUAAUUGGUGGCAAUUGUUGAACUUGAGUUUGUGGUGUUUUUGAACUUGAGUUUGUUUCGGGUUUGAACUUUGUUUGUGGUGUUUUUGAACUUGAGUUUUUGAUGUUUUUGAACUUGAGGGUGUGUUGUGUUUUUGAACUUGAGUUUGUGGUGUUUUUGAACUUGAGUUUGUUUCGUGUUUGAACUUGAGUUUGUGGCGUUUGUUGAACUCUAGGUUGUGGCAAUUGUUGAACUUGAGAUUUGGGUGUUGGUUCAACUUAAAAGUUUGGCAUUUGUUGAACAUGAGUUUGUGUGUUUGUUGAACUUAAGUUUGUGUCUUGUUUGAACUUGAGUUUGUGUGUUUUUUGAACUUGAGUUUGAAUCGUGUUUGAACUUGAGUUUGUGGUGAUUUUGAACUUGAGUUUGAAUCGUGUUUGAACUUGAGUUUGUGGUGAUUUUUAACUUGAGGUGUUGGAAAUUGUGAAACUUGAGAAAUGGGUAUUGGUUGAACUUGAGUUUGUGUGUUUGUUGAACAAGAUAUUGUGUUGUGUUUUAACUUCAGUUUGUGCUGUUUUUUAAGCUUGAGGUUGUGGUGUUUUUGAAUUUGCGUUUGUGGUGUUUUUGAACUUGAGUUUGAAUCGUGUUUGAACUUGAGUUUGUGGUGAUUUUUAACUUGAGGUGUUGGAAAUUGUGAAACUUGAGAAAUGGGUAUUGGUUGAACUUGAGUUUGUGUGUUUGUUGAACAAGAGAUUGUGUUGUGUUUUAACUUCAGUUUGUGCUGUUUUUUAAGCUUGAGGUUGUGGUGUUUUUGAACUUGCGUUUGUGGUGUUUUGUACUUGAGUUUGUGUCAUUUUUCAACUUGAGGUUGUGGAACUUGUUAAACUUGAGAAUGAGGUGUUGAUUGAACUUGAGUAUUUUUUUUUUUAACUUGAGUUUGUGUCGUGUUUGAGCUCGAAAUUGUGGUGCUUUUGAAUUUGAGUUUGCGUGUUUUUUGAUCUUGAGUUUGUUGUUUCUGAACUUGAGGUUUUGGCAAUUGUUGAACUUGAGUCUGUGGUUUUUAGUGAACUUUAGUUGGUUGCAAUUGUUGAACAUGAGUUUAUGGCGUAAAAUUGAGAAUUGGGUGUUGGUUGAACUUAAAAGUUUGACAUUUGUUGAACUUGAGUGUGGUUUUUGUUGAACUUGAGUUUGUGUCGUGUUUGAGCUCGAGUUUGUGGUGUUUAUGAAUUUGAGUUUGCGUGUUUGUUAAACUUGAGUUUGUGUUUUUUUUUAACUUGAGUUUGUUGUUUCUGAACUUGAGUUUGUGGCAAUUGUUGAACUUGAGUUUGACAUUUGUUGAACUUGGGUUUGUGGUUUUUGAACUUGAGUUUGUGGUGUUUUUGAACUUGAGGUUGUGGAAUUUGUUAAACUUGAGAAUUGGGUAUUGGUUGAAAUUGAGUCUGUGUGUUUGUUGAACUUGAGUUUGUGUUGUGUUUGAACUUGAGUUUAUGGUUUUUUUGAACUUGAGUUUGUGGUGUUUUUGAACUUGAGGUUGUUAGAAAUUGUUAAACUUGAAAAUUUGGUAUUGGUUGAACUUGAGUUUGUGUGUUUGUUGAACUUGAGUUUGUUCCGUUUGUUGAACUUGAGUUUCUGUUGUUUUUGAACUUUAAUUUGUGUCGUGUUUGAACUUGAGUUUGUGGCGACUGUUGAACUUGAGUUUGUGGUGUUUUUGAAAUUGAGGGUGUGGAAUUUGUUAAUCUUGAGAAUUGGGUAUUGGUUGAACUUGAGUUUGUGUUUUGUUGAACUUGAGUUUGUGUCGAGUUUGAACUUGAGUUUAUGGUGUUUUUUAAAUUUAUUUUGUGUGUUUGUUGAACUUGAGUUUGUGUUUGAACUUGAGUUUGUGGUGUUUUUGAACUUGAGUUUGUGUCGUGUUUUAACUUGAGUUUGUGGCGUUUGUUGAACUUGAGUUUGUGUCGUGUCUGAACUUGAGUUUGUGGUGUUUUUGAACUUGAGUUUUCUGGUGUUUUUGAACUUGAGGGUGUGGAAUUUGUUAAACUUGAGAAUUGGGUAUUGGUUUAACUUGAGUUUGUGUCGAGUUUGAACUUGAGUUUGUGGUGUUUUUUAACUUGAUUUUGUGUGUUUUUUGAACUUGAGUUUCUGUAUUUUUUGAACUUGAAUUUGUGUCGUGUUUGAACUUGAGUUUGUGGCGUUUGUUGAACUUGAGUUUGUGUCAUGUCUGAACAUGAGUUUGUGGUGUUUUUGAACUUGAGUUUGUGGUGUUUUUGAACUUGAUUUCGUGUUUGAACUUGAGUUUGUGGUGUUUUUGAACUUGAGUUUGUGUCGUGUUUUAACCCGAGUUUGUGUGUUUGUUUAACUUGAUUUUGUGUUUAUGUUUGAACUUGAGUUUGUGGGGUUUUUGAACUUGUGUUUGUGGUGUUUUUGAACUUGAGUUUGUGGCGUUUGUUGAACUUGAGUUUCUGUUGUUUUUGAACUUGAAUUUGUGUCGUGUUUGAACUUGAGUUUGUGGCGUUUUUUGAACUUUAAUUUGUGUCGUGUUUGAACUUGAGUUUGUGGCGACUGUUGAACUUGAGUUUGAGGUGUUUUUGAAAUUGAGGGUGUGGAAUUUGUUAAUCUUGAGAAUUGGGUAUUGGUUGAACUUGAGUUUGUGUUUUGUUGAACUUGAGUUUGUGUCGAGUUUGAACUUGAGUUUAUGGUGUUUUUUAAAUUUAUUUUGUGUGUUUGUUGAACUUGAGUUUGUGUUUGAACUUGAGUUUGUGGUGUUUUUGAACUUGAGUUUGUGUCGUGUCUGAACUUGAGUUUGUGGUGUUUUUGAACUUGAGUUUUCUGGUGUUUUUGAACUUGAGGGUGUGGAAUUUGUUAAACUUGAGAAUUGGGUAUUGGUUUAACUUGAGUUUGUGUCGAGUUUGAACUUGAGUUUGUGGUGUUUUUUAACUUGAUUUUGUGUGUUUUUUGAACUUGAGUUUCUGUAUUUUUUGAACUUGAAUUUGUGUCGUGUUUGAACUUGAGUUUGUGGCGUUUGUUGAACUUGAGUUUGUGUCAUGUCUGAACAUGAGUUUGUGGUGUUUUUGAACUUGAGUUUGUGGUGUUUUUGAACUUGAUUUCGUGUUUGAACUUGAGUUUGUGGUGUUUUUGAACUUGAGUUUGUGUCGUGUUUUAACCCGAGUUUGUGUGUUUGUUUAACUUGAUUUUGUGUUUAUGUUUGAACUUGAGUUUGUGGGGUUUUUGAACUUGUGUUUGUGGUGUUUUUGAACUUGAGUUUGUGGCGUUUGUUGAACUUGAGUUUCUGUUGUUUUUGAACUUGAAUUUGUGUCGUGUUUGAACUUGAGUUUGUGGCGUUUUUUGAACUUGAGUUUGUGGUGUUUUUGAACUUGAGGGUGUGGAAUUUGUUAAUCUUGAGAAUUGUGUUUUGGUUGAACUUGAGUUUGUGUUUUUGUUGAACUUGAGUUUGUGUCGAGUUUGAACUUGAGUUUGUGGUGUUUUUUAACUUGAUUUUGUGUUUGUUGAACUUGAGUUGUGUUUGAACUUGAGUUUGUAGUAUUUUUGAACUUGAGUUUGUGUCGUGUUUUAACUUGAGUUUGUGUGUUUGUUUAACUUGAGUUUGUGUUGUGUUUGAACUUGAGUUUGUGGCGUUUGUUGAACUUGAGUUUCUGUUGUUUUUGAACUUGAACUUUUUGUCGUGUUUAAACUUGAGUUUGUGGUGUUUGUUGAACUUGAGUUUGUGUCGUGUCUGAACUUGAGUUUGUGGUGUUUUUGAACUUGAGUUUUCUGGUGUUUUUGAACUUGAGGGUGUGGAAUUUGUUAAACUUCAGAAUUGGGUAUUGGUUUAACUUGAGUUUGUGUGUUUGUUGAACUUGAGUUUGUGUCGAGUUUGAACUUGAGUUUGUGGUGUUUUUUAACUUGUUUUUGUGUGUUUGUUGAACUUGAGUUUGUGUUUGAACUUGAGUUUGUGGUGUUUAUUGAACUUGAGUUUGUGUCGUGUCUGAACUUGAGUUUGUGGUGUUUUUGAACUUGAGUUUUCUGGUGUUUUUGAACUUGAGGGUGUGGAAUUUGUUAAACUUCAGAAUUGGGUAUUGGUUGAACUUGAGUUUGUGUGUUUGUUGAACUUGAGUUUGUGUCGAGUUUGAACUUGAGUUUGUGGUGUUUUUUAACUUGUUUUUGUGUGUUUGUUGAACUUGAGUUUGUGUUUGAACUUGAGUUUGUGGUGUUUUUGAACUUGAGUUUGUGUCGUGUUUUAACUUGAGUUUGUGUUGUUGUUUAACUUGAUUUUGUGUCGUGUCUGAACUUGAGUUUGUGGUGUUUUUGAACUUGAGUUUUCUGGUGUUUUUGAACUUGAGGGUGUGGAAUUUGUUAAACUUGAGAAUUGGGUAUUGGUUUAACUUGAGUUUGUGUCGAGUUUGAACUUGAGUUUGUGGUGUUUUUUAACUUGAUUUUGUGUGUUAUUUGAACUUGAGUUUCUGUUGUUUUUGAACUUGAAUUUGUGUCGUGUUUGAACUUGAGUUUGUGGCGUUUGUUGAACUUGAGUUUGUGUCAUGUCUGAACAUGAGUUUGUGGUGUUUUUGAACUUGAGUUUGUGGUGUUUUUGAACUUGAUUUCGUGUUUGAACUUGAGUUUGUGGUGUUUUUGAACUUGAGUUUGUGUCGUGUUUUAACCUGAGUUUGUGUGUUUGUUUAACUUGAUUUUGUGUUUAUGUUUGAACUUGAGUUUGUGGGGUUUUUGAACUUGAGUUUGUGGUGUUUGUUGAACUUGAGUUUCUGUUGUUUUUGAACUUGAAUUUGUGUCGUGUUUGAACUUGAGUUUGUGGCGUUUGUUGAACUUGAGUUUGUGGUGUUUUUGAACUUGAGGGUGUGGAAUUUGUUAAACUUGAGAAUUGGGUAUUGGUUUAACUUGAGUUUGUGUCGAGUUUGAACUUGAGUUUGUGGUGUUUUUUAACUUGAUUUUGUGUGUUAUUUGAACUUGAGUUUCUGUAUUUAUUGAACUUGAAUUUGUGUCGUGUUUGAACUUGAGUUUGUGGCGUUUGUUGAACUUGAGUUUGUGUCAUGUCUGAACAUGAGUUUGUGGUGUUUUUGAACUUGAGUUUGUGGUGUUUUUGAACUUGAUUUCGUGUUUGAACUUGAGUUUGUGGUGUUUUUGAACUUGAGUUUGUGUCGUGUUUUAACCUGAGUUUGUGUGUUUGUUUAACUUGAUUUUGUGUUUAUGUUUGAACUUGAGUUUGUGGGGUUUUUGAACUUGAGUUUGUGGUGUUUGUUGAACUUGAGUUUGUGUUGUUUGUUGAACUUGAGUUUGUGUCGUGUUUGAACUUGAGGUUGUGGCGUUUGUUGAACUUGAGUUUGUGGUGUUUUUGAACUUGAGGGUGUGGAAUUUGUUAAUCUUGAGAAUUGGGUUUUGGUUGAACUUGAGUUUUUGUUUUUGUUGAACUUGAGUUUGUGUCGAGUUUGAACUUGAGUUUGUGGUGUUUUUUAACUUGAUUUUGUGUUUGUUGAACUUGAGUUGUGUUUGAACUUGAGUUUGUAGUAUUUUUGAACUUGAGUUUGUGUUGUGUUUGAACUUGUUUGAACUUGAGUUUGUGGCGUUUGUUGAACUUGAGUUUCUGUUGUUUUUGAACUUGAAUUUGUGUCAUGUUUGAACUUGAGUCUGUGGUGUUUGUUGAACUUGAGUUUGUGUCGUGUCUGAACUUGAGUUUGUGGUGUUUUUGAACUUGAGUUUUCUGGUGUUUUUGAACUUGAGGGUGUGGAAUUUGUUAAACUUCAGAAUUGGCUAUUGGUUUAACUUGAGUUUGUGUGUUUGUUGAACUUGAGUUUGUGUCGAGUUUGAACUUGAGUUUGUGGUGUUUUUUAACUUGAGUUUGUGUGUUUGUUGAACUUGAGUUUGUGUUUGAACUUGAGUUUGUGGUGUUUUUGAACUUGAGUUUGUGUCGUGUUUUAACUUGAGUUUGUGUUGUUGUUUAACUUGAUUUUGUGUUGUGUUUGAACUUGAGUUUGUGGUGUUUUUCAACUUGAGUUUGUUGAAAUUUUGAAACUUGAGAAUCAGGUGUUGGAUGAACUUCAGUUAGUGUGUUUGUUGAACUUGAGUUUGUAUCACGUUGGAAAUUUAGUUUGUGGUUUUUGUUGAACUUGAGUUUGUGGUUUUUUUGAACUUGAGUUUGUUUCUUGUUUGAACUUGAGUUCGUGGCGUUUUUUGAAAUUGAGUUUGUGUGUUUUUUUAACUUGAGUAUCUGUUGUUUUUUGAACUUGAAGUUGUGUUCUUUUUUAACUUGAGGGUGUGGAAUUUGUUAAACUUGAGAAUUGGGUUUUGGUUGAACUUGAGUUUGUGGUGUUUUUGAACUUGAGUUUUUUUCGUGUUUGAACUUGAGUUUGUGGGGUUUGUUGAACUUGAGUUUCUGUUGUUUUUGAACUUGAAUUUAAGUCUUGUUUGAAAUUGAGUUUGUGGCGUUUGUUGAACUUGAGUUUGUGUCGUGUCUGAACUUGAGUUUGUGGUGUUUUUGAACUUGAGGUUGUGGUGUUUUUGAACUUGAGGGUGUGGAAUUUGUUAAUCUUGAGAAUUGGGUAUUGGUUGAACUUGAGUUUGUGUUUUUGUUGAACUUGAGUUUGUGUCGAGUUUGAACUUGAGUUUGUGGUGUUUUUUAACUUGAGUUUGUGUGUUUGUUGAACUUGAGUUUGUGUUAUGUUUGAACUUGAGUUUGUGUCGUGUAUGAACUUGAGUUUGUGUUGUGUUUUGAACUUGAGUUUUUGGUGUUUUUGAACUUGAGGGUGUGGAAUUUGUUAAACUUGAGAAUUGGGUAUUGGUUGAAUUUGAGUUUGUGUGUUUGUUGAAUUUGAGUUUGUGUCAUGUUUGAACUUGAGUUUGUGUGUUUGUUGAACUUGAGUUGUGGCGUUUGGUGAAAUCUAGGUUGUGGCAAUUGUUAAACUUGAGAUUUGGUUGUUGGUUGAACUUGAGUUUGUGUCGUGUUUGAACUUGAGUUCGUGUUGUUUUUUGAACUUGAAUUUGUGUGUUUUUUUAACUUAAUUUUUUUUGAACUUGAGUUUGUGGCAAUUGUUGAACUUGAGUCUGUGGUUUUUGGUGAACUUUUAUUGGUGGCAAUUGUUGAACUUGAGUUUGUGGUGUUUUUGAACUUGAGUUUGUUUCGUGUUUGAACUUUGUUUGUGGUGUUUUUGAACUUGAGUUUUUGGUGUUUUUGAACUUGAGGGUGUGUUUUGUUUUUGAACUUGAGUUUUUGGUGUUUUUGAACUUGAGGGUGUGGAAUUUGUUAACUUGAGAAUUGGGUAUUGGUUGAAUUUGAGUUUGUGUGUUUGUUGAACUUGAGUUUGUGUCAUGUUUGAACUUGAGUUUGUGGUCUUUUUGAACUUGAGUUUGUGUGUUUGUUUAACUUGAGUUGUGGCGUUUGUUGAACUCUAGGUUGUGGCAAUUGUUAAACUUGAGAUUUGGUUGUUGGUUGAACUUGAGUUUGUGUCGUGUUUGAACUUGAGUUCGUGUUGUUUGUUGAACUUGAAUUUGUGUGUUUUUUGAACUUAAUUUUUUUGAACUUGAGUUUGUGGCAAUUGUUGAACUUGAGUCUGUGGUUUUUGGUGAACUUUAAUUGGUGGCAAUUGUUGAACUUGAGUUUGUGGUGUUUUUGAACUUGAGUUUGUUUCGUGUUUGAACUUUGUUUGUGGUGUUUUUGAACUUGAGUUUUUGGUGUUUUUGAACUUGAGGGUGUGUUGUGUUUUUGAACUUGAGUUUGUGGUGUUUUUGAACUUGAGUUUGUUUCGUGUUUGAACUUGAGUUUGUGGCGUUUGUUGAACUCUAGGUUGUGGCAAUUGUUGAACUUGAGAUUUGGGUGUUGGUUCAACUUAAAAGUUUGGCAUUUGUUGAACUUAAGUUUGUGUGUUUGUUGAACUUAAGUUUGUGUCUUGUUUGAACUUGAGUUUGUGGUGUUUUUUGAACUUUAGUUUUGGUGUCUUUGAACUUGAGUUUGUGGUGUUUUUGAACUUGAGUUUGAAUCGUGGUUGAACUUGAUUUUGUGGUGUUUUCGAAAUUGAGGGUGUGUUGUGUUUUUGAACUUGAGGUUGUGGUGUUUUUGAACUUGAGUUUGUUUCGUGUUUGAACUUGAGUUUGUGGCGUUUGUUGAACUCUAGGUUGUGGCAAUUGUUGAACUUGAGAUUUGGGUGUUGGUUCAACUUAAAAGUUUGGCAUUUGUUGAACUUGAGUUUGUGUGUUUGUUGAACUUAAGUUUGUGUCUUGUUUGAACUUGAGUUUGUGGUGUUUUCAAACUUGAGUUUGUGGUGUUUUUGAACUUGAGGUGUUGGAAAUUGUGAAACUUGAGAAUUGGGUAUUGGUUGAACUUGAGUUUGUGUGUUUGUUGAACAAGAGAUUGUGUUGUGUUUUAACUUCAGUUUGUAGUGUUUUUUGAACUUGAGGUUGUGGUGUUUUUGAACUUGAGUUUGUGGUGUUUUGUACUUGAGUUUGUGUUAUUUUUCAACUUGAGGUUGUGGAAAAACGUAAACUUGAGAUUUGGGUGUUGAUUGAACUUGAGUUUGUUUCGUGUUUGAUCUUGAGGUUGUGGUGUUUUUGAACUUGAGGUUUCUUGUUUGUUUAACUUGAGUUUGUGUGUUUGUUGAACUUGAGUCUGUGUUAUGUUUGAACUUGAGUUUGUGUCGUGUAUGAACUUGAGUUUGUGUCGUGUUUUUGAACUUGAGUUUUUGGUGUUUUUGAACUUGAGGGUGUGGAAUUUGUUAAACUUGAGAAUUGGGUAUUGGUUGAAUUUGAGUUUGUGUGUUUGUUGAACUUGAGUUUGUAUCAUGUUUGAACUUGAGUUUGUGGUCUUUUUGAACUUGAGUUUGUGUGUUUGUUGAACUCUAGGUUGUGGCAAUUGUUAAACUUGAGAUUUGGUUGUUGGUUGAACUUGAGUUUGUGUUGUGUUUGAACUUGAGUUCGUGUUGUUUGUUGAACUUGAAUUUGUGUGUUUUUUGAACUUAAUUUUUUUGAACUUGAGUUUGUGGCAAUUGUUGAACUUGAGUCUGUGGUUUUUGGUGAACUUUAAUUGGUGGCAAUUGUUGAACUUGAGUUUGUGGUGUUUUUGAACUUGAGUUUGUUUCGUGUUUGAACUUUGUUUGUGGUGUUUUUGAACUUGGGUUUUUGGUGUUUUUGAACUUGAGGGUGUGUUGUGUUUUUGAACUUGAGUUUGUGGUGUUUUUGAACUUGAGGUUGUUUCGUGUUUGAACUUGAGUUUGUGGCGUUUGUUGAACUCUAGGUUGUGGCAAUUGUUGAACUUGAGAUUUGGGUGUUGGUUCAACUUAAAAGUUUGGCAUUUGUUGAACUUGAGUUUGUGUGUUUGUUGAACUUAAGUUUGUGUCUUGUUUGAACUUGAGUUUGUGGUGUUUUCAAACUUGAGUUUGUGUGUUUUUGAACUUUAGUUUUUGGUGUUGAACUUGAGUUUGUGGUGUUUUUGAACUUGAGUUUGAAUCGUGGUUGAACUUGAGUUUGUGGUGUUUUUGAACUUGAGAGUGUGUUGUGUUUUUGAACUUGAGGUUGUGGUGUUUUUGAACUCUAGGUUGUGGCAAUUGUUGAACUUGAGAUUUGGGUGUUGGUUCAACUUAAAAGUUUGGCAUUUGUUGAACUUAAGUUUGUGUGUUUGUUGAACUUAAGUUUGUGUCUUGUUUGAACUUGAGUUUGUGGUGUUUUUUGAACUUUAGUUUUGGUGUCUUUGAACUUGAGUUUGUGGUGUUUUUGAACUUGAGUUUGAAUCGUGGUUGAACUUGAUUUUGUGGUGUUUUCGAAAUUGAGUUUGUGUGUUGUGUUUUUGAACUUGAGGUUGUGGUGUUUUUGAACUUGAGUUUGUUUCUGUGUUUGAACUUGAGUUUGUGGCGUUUGUUGAACUCUAGGUUGUGGCAAUUGUUGAACUUGAGAUUUGGGUGUUGGUUCAACUUAAAAGUUUGGCAUUUGUUGAACUUGAGUUUGUGUGUUUGUUGAACUUAAGUUUGUGUCUUGUUUGAACUUGAGUUUGUGGUGUUUUCAAACUUGAGUUUGUGGUGUUUUUGAACUUGAGGUGUUGGAAAUUGUGAAACUUGAGAAUUGGGUAUUGGUUGAACUUGAGUUUGUGUGUUUGUUGAACAAGAGAUUGUGUUGUGUUUUAACUUCAGUUUGUAGUGUUUUUUGAACUUGAGGUUGUGGUGUUUUUGAACUUGAGUUUGUGGUGUUUUGAACUUGAGUUUGUGUUAUUUUUCAACUUGAGGUUGUGGAAAAACGUUAAACUUGAGAUUUGGGUGUUGAUUGAACUUGAGUUUGUUUCGUGUUUGAUCUUGAGGUUGUGGUGUUUUUGAACUUGAGGUUUUUUCUUGUUUGUUUAACUUGAGUUUGUGUGUUUGUUGAACUUGAGUUUGUGUUAUGUUUGAACUUGAGUUUGUGUUCGUGUAUGAACUUGAGUUUGUGUGUGUUUUUGAACUUGAGUUUUUGGUGUUUUUGAACUUGAGGGUGUGGAAUUUGUUAAACUUGAGAAUUGGGUAUUGGUUGAAUUUGAGUUUGUGUGUUUGUUGAACUUGAGUUUGUAUCAUGUUUGAACUUGAGUUUGUGGUCUUUUUGAACUUGAGUUUGUGUGUUUGUUGAACUCUAGGUUGUGGCAAUUGUUAAACUUGAGAUUUGGUUGUUGGUUGAACUUGAGUUUGUGUUGUGUUUGAACUUGAGUUCGUGUUGUUUGUUGAACUUGAAUUUGUGUGUUUUUUGAACUUAAUUUUUUUGAACUUGAGUUUGUGGCAAUUGUUGAACUUGAGUCUGUGGUUUUUGGUGAACUUUAAUUGGUGGCAAUUGUUGAACUUGAGUUUGUGGUGUUUUUGAACUUGAGUUUGUUUCGUGUUUGAACUUUGUUUGUGGUGUUUUUGAACUUGGGUUUUUGGUGUUUUUGAACUUGAGGGUGUGUUGUGUUUUUGAACUUGAGUUUGUGGUGUUUUUGAACUUGAGGUUGUUUCGUGUUUGAACUUGAGUUUGUGGCGUUUGUUGAACUCUAGGUUGUGGCAAUUGUUGAACUUGAGAUUUGGGUGUUGGUUCAACUUAAAAGUUUGGCAUUUGUUGAACUUGAGUUUGUGUGUUUGUUGAACUUAAGUUUGUGUCUUGUUUGAACUUGAGUUUGUGGUGUUUUCAAACUUGAGUUUGUGUGUUUUUUGAACUUUAGUUUUUGGUGUCUGAACUUGAGUUUGUGGUGUUUUUGAACUUGAGUUUGAAUCGUGGUUGAACUUGAGUUUGUGGUGUUUUUGAACUUGAGAGUGUGUUGUGUUUUUGAACUUGAGGUUGUGGUGUUUUUGAACUUGAGUUUGUUUCGUGUUUGAACUUGAGUUUGUGGCGUUUGUUGAACUCUAGGUUGUGGCAAUUGUUGAACUUGAGAUUUGGGUGUUGGUUCAACUUAAAAGUUUGGCAUUUGUUGAACUUGAGUUUGUGUGUUUGUUGAACUUAAGUUUGUGUCUUGUUUGAACUUGAGUUUGUGGUGUUUUCAAACUUGAGUUUGUGUGUUUUUUGAACUUGAGGUGUUGGAAAUUGUGAAACUUGAGAAUUGGGUAUUGGUUGAACUUGAGUUUGUGUGUUUGUUGAACAAGAGAUUGUGUUGUGUUUUAACUUCAGUUUGUGGCGUUUUUUAAGCUUGAGGUUGUGGUGUUUUUGAACUUGAGUUUGUGGUGUUUUGUACUUGAGUUUGUGUUAUUUUUCAACUUGAGGUUGUGGAACUUGUUAAACUUGAGAAUCAGGUGUUGAUUGAACUUGAGUAUUUGUUUUUUUUAACUUGAGUUUGUGUCGUGUUUGAGCUCGAGUUUGUGGUGUUUUUGAAUUUGAGUUUGCGUGUUUGUUAAACUUGAGUUUGUGUCGUGUUUUAAAUUGAGUUUGUUGUUUCUGAACUUGAGUUUGUGGCAAUUGUUGAACUUGAGUUUGACAUUUGUUGAACUUGGGUUUGUGUUUUUUGUUGAACUUGAGUUUGUGGUGUUUUUGAACUUGAGGUUGUGGAAUUUGUUAAACUUGAGAAUUGGGUAUUGGUUGAAAUUGAGUUUGUGUGUUUGUUGAACUUGAGUUUGUGUCGUGUUUGAACUUCGGUUUGUGGUGUUUUUUGAGCUUGAGGUUGUGGUGUUUCUGAACUUGAGUUUGUGUUGCUUUUGAAGUUUAGGUUGUGGCAAUUUCUAAAAUUGAGAUUUGGGUGUUGGUUGAACUUAAAAGUUUGUCAUUUGUUGAACUUCAGUUUGUGGAAAUUGUUAAAAUUGAGGAUUGGGUGUUGGUUGAACUUGAGUUUGUGGUGUUUGUUGAACUUGAGUUUGUGAGGUGUUUGAACUUGAGUUUGUGGUGUUUUUGAACUUGAGUUUUUGGUGUUCGUUGAACUCGAGUUUGUGUCGUGUUUGAACUUGAGUUUGUGGCGUUUUUGAACUUUAGGUUGUUGCAAUUGUGAAACUUGAGUUUUGGGUGUUGGUUGAACUUAAAAUUUUGACAUUUGUUGAACUUGAAUUUGUGGUGUUUGUUGAACUUUUGUUUGUGUCAUGUUUGAACUUGAGUUUAUGGUGUUUUUGAACUUGAGGUUGUGGUGUUUUUGAACUUGAGUUUGUGGCGUGUUUGAACUUGAGGUUGUUGCAAUUGUUAAAUUGAGAUUUUGGUGUUGGUUGAACUUAAAACUUUGACAUUUGUUGAACUUGAGUUUGAGCUGUUUGUUUAACAUUAGUUUGUGUCAUUUUUGUACUUGAGUUUGUUGUGUUUUUGAACUUGAGUUUGUGGAAAUUGUUAAACUUGAGAAUCGGGUGUUGGUUCAACUUGGUUUUCUGUUGUUUUUGAACUUGAGGUUGUGGAAAUUGUUAAACUUGAGAAUCAGGUGUUGGUUGAAGUUGAGUUUGUGUGUUUGUUGAACUUGAGUUUGUGUCGUGUUCGAACUUGAGUUUGUGGUAUUUUUGAACUUGAGUUUGUGUGUUUGUUGAUCUUGAGGUUAUGGAAAUUGUUAAACCCCAAAAUUGGGUAUUGGUUGAACUUGAGUUUGUGUUGUUUUUGAACUUGAGUUUGUGUAGUGUUUGAACUUGAGUUUGUGGUGUUUUUUGAGCUUGAGGUUGUGGUGUUUUUGAGCUUGAGAUUGUGGCGUGUUUGAACUUGAGUUUGUGGUGGUUUUUGAACUUGAGGUUGUGAAAAUUGUUAAAACUUGAGAAUCAGGUGUUGGUUGAACUUGAGUUUGUGGUUUUUUUUUAGCUUGAGUUUGUGGUUUUUGUUGAACUUGAGUUUUUGUCAUUUUUGAGCUUGAGGUUUUGGUGUUUUUAAACUUGAGUUUGCGUGUUUGUUUAACUCGAGUUUGUGUGUUUUUUUAACUUGAGUUUGUUGUUUCUGAACUUGAGGUUUUGGCAAUUGUUGAACUUGAGUCUGUUGUUUUUAGUGAACUUUAGUUGGUGGCAAUUGUUGAACUUGAGUUUGUGGCAUUUGUUAAACUUGAGUUUGUGACGUGUUUAAACAUGAUUUUGUGGUGUUUUUGAACUCGAGUUUGUGGUUUUUUUUUAACUUGAGGUUGUGGAAAUUGUUAAACUUGAGAAUUGGGUAUUGGUUGAACUUGAGUUUGUGUUUUUUUUUAACUUGAGUUUGUGUCAUGUUUGAACUUCAGUUUGUGGGGUUUUUGAACUCGAGUCUUUGUGUUUGUUGAACUUCAGUUUGUGUCGUGUUUGAACUUGAGUUUGUGGUGUUUUUUGAACUUGAGGUUGUGUGUUUUUUUUAACUUGAGUUUGUGGCGGUUUUUGAACUUGAGGUUGUGGCAAUUGUUGAACUUGAGUUUGUGACGUGUUUGAACUUGAUUUUGUGGUGUUUUUGAACUUGAGUUUGUGGUGUUUUUUAACUUGAGUUCGUGGUGUUUGUGGAAUUUGAGUUUGUGUCGUUUGAACUUGAGGUUGUGUUGUUUUUGAACUCGAGUUUUUGUGUUUGUUGAACUUCAGUUUGUGUCGUGUUUGAACUUGAGUUUGUGGUGUUUUUUGAACUUGAGGUUGUGGUGUUUUUGACUUGAGUUCGUGGCGUGUUUGAACUUGAGGUUGUUGCAAUUGUUAAACUUGAGAUUUGGGUGUUGGUUGAACAUAAAACUUUGCCAUUUGUUGAACUUGAGUUAGUGGUGUAUGUUGAACUCCAGCUUGUGUUGUGUUUGAACUUGAGGUCGUGGUAUUUUUGAAUUGAGUUUGUGGAGGUUUUUGAACUUGAGUUUGUGGCGUGUUUGAACUUGAGAUUGUGGCGUGUUUGAACUUGAGUUUGUGGUGGUUUUUGAACUUGAGGUUGUGAAAAUUGUUAAAACUUGAGAAUCAGGUGUUGGUUGAACUUGAGUUUGUGGUUUUUGUUGAACUUGAUUUUGUGCUUUGAUUGAACUUUAGUUUAUGUUUUUUUUUUGUACUUGAGUUUGUGUUGUUUUUGAACUUGAGGUUGUGGAAAUUGUAAAAACUUGAGAAUCAGGUGUUGGUUGAACUUGAGUUUGUGUGUUUUUGUAACUUGAGUUUGUUGUUUCUGAACUUGAGGUUUUGGCAAUUGUUGAACUUGAUAAUUGGGUAUUGGUUGAACUUGAGUUUGUGUGUUUGUUGAACUUGAGUUUGUGUCGUGUUUGAACUUCAGUUUGUGGUGUUUUUUGAACUUGAGGUUGUGGUGUUUUUGAACUUGAGUUUUUGGUGUUUUUGAACUUGAGGUUGUGGCAAUUGUUGAAUUUAAGUUUGUGACGUGUUUGAACUUGAUUUUGUGGUGUUUUUGAACUCGAGUUUGUUUUGUUUUUGAACUUGAGUUUGUGGUGUUUGUUGAACUUGAGUUUGUGUCGUGUUUGAACUUGAGGUUGUGGUGUUUUUGAACUCGAGUUUUUGUGUUUGUUGAACUUCAGUUUGUGUCGUGUUUGAACUUGAGUUUGUGGUGUUUUUUGAACUUGAGGUUGUGGUGUUUUUGAACUUGAGUUUGUGGCGGUUUUUGAACUUGAGGUUGUUGCAAUUGUUGAACUUGAAAUAAAAACCCAAAUAUGAACCCAAAUAUAUAUUUUUUCUUUUUACAUUUUUUUGGUGUAACCAACUCCAAAAGGUCUUAAACAUGUUCCUAAAAAAAUUUUGGACAGUGAUUUUAAACCUAACGCCUAAAACCUUAAACCUUACCCUAGCCCCAUAACCUAAUACCCGGGUAUUAACUUCAGGAAGCCCAAAAACCCCAAAUAUUUUUUUUUCAUUGUUCGUUUUUUUUUUGGUCUAACUAACACCAAAAGGUUGGAAAAGAGGUCCUACAAAGGUUUUGGACAGUGAUUUUAACACUCACGUCAAAAACCUUAAACCUUACUAUAGCCCCAUGACCUAAUACCCGGGUAUUACCUUCAGAAGCCCAAAAACCCCAAAUAUUUUUUUUAUUUUUCGUUAGUUUUUGCUCUAUCUAACUCCAAAAGGUUGGAAAAGAGUUCCUACAAAGGUUUUGGACAGUGAUUUUAACCCUAACGCCAAAAACCUUAAACCUUACCCUAGCCCCAUAACCUCAUACCCGGUUAUUUCCUUAAGGAAGCCCGAAGACCCCAAAUAUAUUUUUUUCAUUUUUUUUUUUUUGGUCUAACUUGCUCUCAAAGGUUGGAAAAGAGUUCCUACAAAGGUUUUGGACAUUGAUUUUAACCCUAACGCCAAAAAACUUAAAGCAUUACCCUAGCCCAGAAACCUAGUAUUACCUUCAGGAAGCCCGAACACCCAAAAAAAAUUCUUUUUCUUUUUACAUUUUUUUUGGUGUAACCAACUCCAAAAGGUCUGAAACAUGUUCCUAAAAAGGUUUUGGACAUUGAUUUUAACCCUAACACCAAAAAACCUUAAACCUUACCCUAGCCCCAUAACCUAAUACGGGUAUUUCCUUCAGGAAGCCCGAAGACCCCAAAUAUGUUUUUUUCUUUUUUCUUUUUUUUUGGUCUAACGAACUCCAAAAGGUUGGAAAAGAGUUCCUACAAAGGUUUUGGACAGUGAUUUUAACCCUAACACCAAAAACCUUAAACCUUACCCUAGCCCCAAAACCUAAUACCCGGGUAUUACCUUCAGGAAGCCUGAACACCCCAAAUAUAUUUUUUUUCAUUUCACAUUUUUUUUUGGUGUAACAAACUCCAAAAGGUCUUAAACAUGUUCCUAAAAAGGUUUUGGUCAGUGAUUUUAACCCUAACGCCAAAAACCUUUAACCUUACUAUAGCCCCAUAACCAAAUACCCGGGUAUUACCUUCAGGAAACCCGAACACCCCAAAUAUUUUUUUUCAUUUUUCGUUUUUUUUUGGUGUAACUAACUCCAAAAGGUUGGAAAAUAGUUCCUACAAAGGUUUUGGACAGUGAUUUUAACCCUAACGCCAAAAACCUUAAACCUUACUAUAGCCCCAUAACCUAAUACCCAGGUAUUACCUUCAGGAAGCUUGAACACCCCAAAUAUUUUUUUUUCAUUUUACAUUUUUUUUGGUGUAACCUACUCCAAAAGGUCUGAAACAUGUUCCUAAAAAGGUUUUGGACAUUGAUUUUAACCCUAACACCAAAAAACCUUAAACCUUACCCUAGCCCCAUAACCUAAUACCCGGUUAUUUCCUUCAGGAAGCCCGAAGACCCCAAAUAUAUUUUUUUCUUUUUUCUUUUUUUUUUGGUCUAACUAACUCCAAAAGGUUGGAAAAGAGUUCCUACAAAGGUUUUGGACAGUGAUUUUAACCCUAACACCAAAAACCUUAAACCUUACCCUAGCCCCAAAACCUAAUACCCGGGUAUUACCUUCAGGAAGCCCGAACACCCAAAAAAAUUUUUUUUUCAUUUUGCAUUUUUUUUGGUGUAACCAACUCCAAAAGGUCUGAAACAUGUUCCUAAAAAGGUUUUGGACAGUGAUUUUAACCCUUACGCCAAACACCUUAAACCUUACCCUAGCCCCAUAACCUAAUACCCGGGUAUUACCUUCAGGAAGCCCGAACACCCCAAAUAUUUUUUUUUCAUUUAUCUCUUUUUUUUUUGUCUAACUAAUUCCCAAAGGUUGGAAAAGAGUUCCUACAAAGGUUUUGGACAGUGAUUUUUACCCUCACGCCGAAAAACCUUAAACCUUACCCUAGCCCCAUAACCUAAUACCCGGGUAUUACCUUCAGGAAGCCCGAACACCCCAAAUAUAUAUUUUUUAUUUUUCUAUUUGUUUUGGUCUAACUUGCUCUCAAAGGUUGGAAAAGAGUUCCUACAAAGGAUUUGGACAUUGAUUUCAACCCUAACGCCAAAAAACUUAAACAUUACCCUAGCCCAGAAACCUAGGAUUACCUUCAGGAAGCCCGAACACCCAAAAUAAAUUUUUUUUCAUUUUACAUUUUUUUUGGUGUAACCAACUCCAAAAGGUCUGAAACAUGUUCCUAAAAAGGUUUUGGACAGUGAUUUUAACCCUUACGCCAAAAACCUUAAACCUUACCCUAGCCCCAUAACCUAAUACCCGGGUAUUACCUUCAGGAAGCCCGAACACCCCAAAUAUUUUUUUUUUCAUUUAUCUUUUUUUUUUUUUUUGUCUAACUAACUCCAAAAGGUUGGAAAAUAGUUCCUACAAAGGUUUUGGACAGUGAUUUUAACCCUAACGCCAAAAACCUUAAACCUUACUAUAGCCCCAUAACCUAAUACCCGGGUAUUACCUUCAGGAAGCUUGAACACCCCAAAUAUUUUUUUUUCAUUUUACAUUUUUUUUUUGGUGUAACCUACUCCAAAAGGUCUGAAACAUGUUCCUAAAAAGGUUUUGGACAUUGAUUUUAACCCUAACGCCAAAAACCUUAAACCUUACCCUAGCCCCAUAACCUAAUACCUGGGUAUUUCCUUCAGGAAGCCCGAAGACCCCAAAUAUAUUUUUUUCUUUUUUCUUUUUUUGGUCUAACUAACUCCCAAAGGUCUGAAACAUGUUCCUUAAAAAAUAUUGGACAGUUAUUUUAACCCUAACGCCAAAAACCUUAAACCUAACCCUAGCCCCAAAACCUAAUUACCUUACCUUCAGGAAGCCCGAACACCCCAAAUAUUUUUUUUUCAUUUUACAUUUUUUUUUGGUGUAACCAACUCUAAAAGGUCUUAAACAUGUUCCUAAAAAGGUUUUGGACACUGAUUUUAACUCUAACACCAAAAACCUUAAACCUUACCCUAGCCCCAUAACCUAAUACCCGGGUAUUACCUUCAGGAAACCCGAACACCCCAAAUAUAUAUUUUUUUCUUUUUUUUUUUUUUUGUCUAACUAACUCCCAAAGGUCUGAAACAUGUUCCUUAAAAAAUAUUGGACAGUUAUUUUAACCCUAACGCCAAAAACCUUAAACCUAACCCUAGCCCCAAAACCUAAUACCCGGGUAUUACCUUCAGGAAGCCCGAACACCCCAAAUAUUUUUUUUUCAUUUAUCUUAUUUUUUUUUGUCUAACUUAUUCCCAAAGGUUGGAAAAGAGUUCCUACAAAGGUUUGGGACAGUGAUUUUUACCCUCACGCCGAAAAACCUUAAACCUUACCCUAGCCCCAUAACCUAAUACCCGGGUAUUACCUUCAGGAAGCCCGAACACCCCAAAUAUAUAUUUUUUAUUUUUCUUUUUGUUUUGGUCUAACUUGCUCUCAAAGGUUGGAAAAGAGUUCCUACAAAGGUUUUGGACAUUGAUUUUAACCCUAACGCCAAAAACCUAAAAUAUUACCCUAGCCCAGAAACCUAGUAUUACCUUCAGGAAGCCCGAACACCCAAAAAAAAUUCUUUUUCAUUUUACAUUUUUUUUGGUGUAACCAACUCCAAAAGGUCUGAAACAUGUUCCUAAAAAGGUUUUGGACAGUGAUUUUAACCCUUACGCCAAAAACCUUAAACCUUACCCUAGCCCCAUAACCUAAUACCUUGGUAUUACCUUCAGGAAGCCCGAACACCCCAAAUAUUUUUUUUCAUUUUUCGUUUUUUUUUGGUCUAACUAACUCCAAAAGGUUGGAAAAUAGUUCCUACAAAGGUUUUGGACAGUGAUUUUAACCCUAACGCCAAAAACCUUAAACCUUACCCUAGCCCCAUAACCUAAUACCCGGGUAUUACCUUCAGGAAGCCCGAACACCCCAAAUAUAUUUUUUUCAUUUUUUUUUUUUUUUUGGUCUAACUAACUCCAAAAGGUCGGAAAAGCAUUCCUACAAAGGUUUUGGACGGUGAUUUUAACCCUAACGCCAAAAACCUUAAACCUAACCCUAGCCCCAAAACCUAAUACCCGGGUAUUACCUUCAGGAAGCCCGAACACCCCAAAUAUUUUUUUUUCAUUUAUCUUAUUUUUUUUUGUCUAACUUAUUCCCAAAGGUUGGAAAAGAGUUCCUACAAAGGUUUUGGACAGUGAUUUUAACCCUUACGCCAAAAACCUUAAACCUUACCCUAGCCCCAUAACCUAAUACCUUGGUAUUACCUUCAGGAAGCCCGAACACCCCAAAUAUUUUUUUUCAUUUUUCGUUUUUUUUUGGUCUAACUAACUCCAAAAGGUUGGAAAAUAGUUCCUACAAAGGUUUUGGACAGUGAUUUUGACCCUUACGCCAAAAACCUUAAACCUUACCCUAGCCCCAUAACCUAAUACCUUGGUAUUACCUUCAGGAAGCCCGAACACCCCAAAUAUUUUUUUUCAUUUUUCGUUUUUUUUUGGUCUAACUAACUCCAAAAGGUUGGAAAAUAGUUCCUACAAAGGUUUUGGACAGUGAUUUUAACCCUAACGCCAAAAACCUUAAACCUUACUAUAGCCCCAUAACCUAAUACCCGGGUAUUACCUUCAGGAAGCUUGAACACCCCAAAUAUUUCUUUUUCAUUUUACAUUUUUUUUUGGUGUUACCAACUCCAAAAGGUCUGAAACAUGUUCCUAAAAAGGUUUUGGACAGUGAUUUUAACCCUAAAACCAAAAACCUUAAACCUUACCCUUGCCCCAUAACCUAAUACCUGGGUAUUACCUUCAGGAAGCCCGAAGACCCCAAAUAUAUUUUUUUCAUUUUAUUUUUUUUUUUUUGGUCUAACUAACUCCAAAAGGUCGGAAAAGCAUUUCUACAAAGGUUUUGGACGGUGAUUUUAACCCUAACGCCAAAAACAUUAAACCUAAUCCUAGCCCCAAAACCUAAUACCCGGGUAUUACCUUCAGGAAGCCCGAACACCCCAAAUUUUUUUUUUCUUUUUUUUUUUUUUUUGUCUAACUAACUCCAAAAGGUUGGAAAAUAGUUCCUACAAAGGUUUUGGACAGUGAUUUUAACCCUAACGCCAAAAACCUUAAACCUUACUAUAGCCCCAUAACCUAAUACCCGGGAAUAACCUUCAGGAAGCUUGAACACCCCAAAUAUUUUUUUUUCAUUUUACAAUUUUUUUUGGUCUAACUAACUCCAAAAGGUCUGAAACAUGUUCCUAAAAAGGUUUUGGACAGUGAUUUUAACCCUUACGCCAAAAACCUUAAACCUUACCCUAGCCCCAUAACCUAAUACCCGGGUAUUACCUUCAGGAAACCCGAACACCCCAAAUAUUUUUUUUUUCUUUUUCUUUUUUUUUUUGUCUAACUAACUCCCAAAGGUCUGAAACAUGUUCCUUAAAAAAAAUUGGACAGUUAUUUUAACCCUAACGCCAAAAACCUUAAACCUAACCCUAGCCCCAAAACCUAAUACUUCAGGAAGCUUGAACACCCCAAAUAUUUUUUUUUCAUUUUACAUUUUUUUGGGUGUUACCAACUCCAAAAGGUCUGAAACAUGUUCCUAAAAAGGUUUUGGACAGUGAUUUUAGCCCGAACACCCCAAAUAUUUUUUUUCAUUUUUCGUUUUUUUUUGGUCUAACUAACUCCAAAAGGUUGGAAAAUAGUUCCUACAAAGGUUUUGGACAGUGAUUUUAACCCUAACGCCAAAAACCUUAAACCUUACUAUAGCCCCAUAACCUAAUACCCGGGUAUUACCUUCAGGAAGCUUGAACACCCCAAAUAUUUUUUUUUCAUUUUACAUUUUUUUUGGUGUUACCAACUCCAAAAGGUCUGAAACAUGUUCCUAAAAAGGUUUUGGACAGUGAUUUUAACCCUAACACCAAAAACCUUAAACCUUACCCUUGCCCCAUAACCUAUUACCUGGGUAUUUUCUUCAGGAAGCCCGAACACCCCAAAUAUAUAUUUUUUAUUAUUCUUUUUUUUUUUUUGGUCUAACUAACUCCAAAAGGUCGGAAAAACAUUCCUACAAAGGUUUUGGACAGUGAUUUUAACCCUAACGCCAAAAACCUUAAACCUUACACUAGCCCCAAAACCUAAUACCCGGGUAUUACCUUCAGGAAACCCGAACACCCCAAAUAUAUUUUUUUCUUUUUCUUUUUUUUUUGUCUAACUAACUCCCAAAGGUCUGAAACAUGUUCCUUUAAAAAUAUUGGACAGUUAUUUUAACCCUAACGCCAAAAACCUUAAACCUAACCCUAGCCCCAAAACCUAAUACCCAGGUAUUACCUUCAGGAAGCCCGAACACCCCAAAUAUUUUUUUUUCAUUUAUCUUAUUUUUUUUGUCUAACUUAUUCCCAAAGGUUGGAAAAGAGUUCCUACAAAGGUUUUGGACAGUGAUUUUUACCCUCACGCCAAAAAACCUUAAACCUUACCCUAGCCC
rnacentral:lncRNA from 1 species